rnacentral:rRNA from 1 species
AACGAACGCUGGCGGCGUGGAUAAGACAUGCAAGUCGAACGGGAUCAUUGAGGUAGCAAUAUCGCGAUGGUCUAGUGGCGAACGGGUGCGUAACACGUGGAUACAUUCCGGGAAGCGGGGGAUAGCCCAGGGAAACUUGGAUUAAUACCGCAUGUGGUCGAAAGACUAAAGACGGGGACCGCAAGGCCUGUCACUUCCCGAUUGGUCCGCGGCCUAUCAGCUAGUUGGCGGGGUAAAAGCCCACCAAGGCUACGACGGGUAGCUGGUCUUAGAGGACGACCAGCCACACUGGAACUGAGACACGGUCCAGACACCUACGGGUGGCAGCAGUCGAGAAUCUUUCACAAUGGGGGCAACCCUGAUGGAGCGACGCCGCGUGGAGGAUAAGGUCUUCGGAUUGUAAACUCCUGUCAUGUGAGAACAAGGCUGCAGGGUUAAUAACCUUGCAGAUUGAUGGUACCACAAGAGGAAGAGACGGCUAACUCUGUGCCAGCAGCCG